AUAGUAACAAUUCAACAACCAUUCCAUAUAAAGAAGCAUCGACAUCGAGUACUACACAAAACGAUCAAGUUUGGCCCUUCCGAGCGUGUGAAGGAAGUUUCUGGAACUCAUGGCACGCUCCAAACCCUAGCGGAUAUUCUGACGUACCUGAAGAUUGUCACGGAUGUUACCACGCACGAGUUUGGUGUCCCGAAUGGAACGGCCUUCAGUGUCCCGCUCCAGGACGACGCUCGUGCCGUCGGCUUCUUUGCGCGCUCUGGACUGCUCGUCGAUGCUAUUGGCGUCUAUGUCCAACCAUGAUGCGAUGCCCUGCAGCUACGUACCUGUGCCAUUGCCCGUUACUGCAUGCUCUACAAUGGUUUGUGAGAAUCAGAGUGGAUUAUAUAUGUAUUUGCACAACCGAAUAUUUCAAUAAUUCCACUCUGAUUCUGUGUCGUAAGUCAUAUAUAUGUAUUGUAAAUCGUAUAUGUAUUGUAAGUUGAGGGAUCCUGCUGAGUCUGCGUUCUACCUGAUAACCUCAAACCUUGCCUUGUUAUUAUUUACAAAGUGUGUGCCGUCAUUGAAUAAAGAAUUGUGGUACAUACCACAUUAUAAAUGUUUA